GAUAAUAAUCUGCAGUCCCAUUCCUAACCCUACAGGGUAGCUUCCUCCACUCGACCAUGACGCAUGUGUGGUGGGGGAGACAGACACAGUGCUUUUUGUGCUUCAACAGUUGAUCCCUGAAGAUGAAGACAAGUAUGGGAAACUAAAGUGCAUAAGAGAACACAAAACUCUCUAAGCGGCACACAAGGUUCCUCUCAGCAUGUUCAAGGCAAACAAAGGCCAGCCAACUGAUAGAACCUCAUUUACCCUGAACUCAAUGAAUUCCAGCACAGAGUGACCUGGUUGCUCGCUUUGUGGUUUCGCCUAGAGGAUGAUUUGGCAUGUGCUGGGUCUGAUGUGGAGGAAUAUGUUGUAACCUGGUAGCCUAAUCUUUUAGCAUGAAUGGAACAGUUGCGUAGUUGUUCCUACACCAUCUGUAGAGCAACCACAACCUGUCAAUCUGUUAAAGGUUGUGCUAAUCCAUUAAACGCUCUCUUUUCCUGUUGGA
ensembl:processed_transcript